rnacentral:tRNA from 1 species
GCGACGGUAGCUCAGUGGCAGAGUGCUGAUCGACAAGUGAUGCGGUCGCUGGUUCGAAUCCAGCCCGUCGCC